rnacentral:rRNA from 1 species
GACGAACGCUGGCGGCAUGCCUAACACAUGCAAGUCGAACGGUAAGGCUUCCUUCGGGAAGUACACGAGUGGCGAACGGGUGAGUAACACGUGGGUAACCUACCCUUGACUGGGGGACAACCGAGGGAAACUUCGGCUAAUACCGCAUAACGUGCAUUGCCUCAAGGUGGUGUACCAAAGCUCCGGCGGUUAAGGAUGGGCCCGCGGCAGAUUAGCGUGUUGGUGGGGUAACGGCUACCAAGGCGACGAUCUGUAGCGGGUCUGAGAGGACGAUCAGCCACACUGGAACUGAGACACGGUCCAGACUCGUACGGGAGGCAGCAGUGGGGAAUCUUGCGCAAUGGGCGAAAGCCUGACGCAGCAAUGCCGCGUGAGGGAAGACGGCCUUAGGGUUGUAAACCUCUUUCAGCAGGGACGAACACAGACGGUACCUGCAGAAGAAGCCCCGGCUAACUACGUGCCAGCAGCCGCCGUAA